CGAGGACUUCGGUCCUAGUGGCGAACGGUCGCGUAACACGUAAGCAACCUGCCCUGAAGUGGGGGACAACAUCCCGAAAGGGGUGCUAAUACCGCAUGUGGUCACGAGUCGGCAUCGACUUGUGUCUAAAGAUUUAUCGCUUCAGGAUGGGCUUGCGGCCUAUCAGGUAGUUGGUGGGGUAAUGGCCUACCAAGCCGACGACGGGUAGCUGGUCUGAGAGGACGAUCAGCCGGAUUGGGACUGAGAUACGGCCCAGACUCCUACGGGGGGCAGCAAUUAGGAAUCUUGCGCAAUGGGGGAAACCCUGACGCAGCGACGUCGCGUGAAGGAUGAAGGCCCUCGGGUCGUAAACUUCUUUUGAGUGGGAAGAAAUUUGACGGUACCACUCGAAUAAGCCCCGGCUAACUACGUGCCAGCAGCCGCGGUAAUACGUAGGGGGCGAGCGUUGUCCGAAGUUACUGGGCGUAAAGCGCGCGUAGGCGGUUAUUUAAGUCUGGGGUGAAAG
rnacentral:rRNA from 1 species